GCUUAAGAACAGUCCUUAGCCGUGGUAUAUUGGCCAUAUACCACAACUCCUCGGGCCUUAUUGCUUAAAUAACAGUAGAGUAAGUGUACAUUUUGCAUAUGAAAGAUUGCUUUAUGUUUAUAGAACCGUACCGCAAUUUAGAUGGAGUAUUUGGCUGCCUGAGACAAUUUGCCUGUUCUAAACCAAAUAAGGGCGUGGGGUUUACUUGGUCUGGUCAUGUGGUCAGGAAAAAWUCCUGGCCCUAGGCAUAGUACAUGUGUAUCAAUGCGAUGAAAAMACUAUUGACGGCAUUAUGUUUGUAAGUUAUCAUGCCUGAUAGCUAAAAGUAAGAACUGCCCUUGUUUCAUUCCUCAGUGCAGUCAGCCCUCCUAUUUKUAUAGAGCUUUCACUUUGUAAAUAUGUAAUUGAAUAAAAUAUUCGGUCUAUUGUAAGUGUGUAGUGUAUCAUAUUUCAAAUGAACUUCAACCGAAUGAGCUUCACAUUCCUUUUCAGGGACAACUUCCAUUGGUUUUGUAUUAGACAAUUCCAUGCACUUAUGCAUUCUGCCCUAUUGGUGGCAGUAUUGGAUUUUUGAUCCUAUGAAGCUGAAAUAAUUUAAUUAGAAGUAGGGGCCUCAAACGAGUUUAUUGUUUGAUCAGUUGUAACAAAUGUAACCAUAUACAAUAGUAUUUCCAAGUCAAAGCACUCAGACUUCUCUGACUCUGGUUGUGUGCAUGCAAGUUGUUUGAACCCUCAAGAUCCAGAAUGAGACGGCGAACACAAAGGCCUGCGCGAGGGUAGCAUUAGCGCAGAAGGGGCAGACUGGAGUGAACCUGGAGUAUCAGCCCAGCUCAGGCACCUUGGCAGAAUGUACCCAAUGGAUCCAGAGACAUGCAGUCACCAGAGGGAGUAUGGAUAACCAGAGACAUGCAGUCACCAGAGGGAGUAUGGAUAACCAGAGACAUGCAGUCACCAGAGGGAGUAUGGAGAACCAGAGACAUGCAGUCACCAGAGGGAGUAUGGAGAACAGAACUCAGGGCAAUGAGACAAUGGCCAGGCUAUGCCCCGAGAGCCUUACAGUGAAUACUCCAGCAUGAGGAGGACUAGAGAAGGUGGGAAGGAGUAUGGUGCUUCCUCUSCUAUGAGCUACAUCAUGGACCCAUCAUCCAGAGACUGGAGCAAAGGCUCAUUGAGGGGUAGAGGUGCUCCCUUCUCCCCAGACACAGAUGGGGACGUUGAUGGAGAUCCUGUGGAGCUCAGUGGGGAGGACCUGGAGCUCCUUUGUAAGAGGAUGGAGCUGGAGAUCAUAGAGGAACAGAUUGCCAGCAAAAAAAGCUGCUCUUGCUAUGGAAACGUUUGGGCCUGAAUCAAAGGCCAUCCGUAAACAGAAGACGAAGGACAAGGAUUUUUWUUUUUUUUWAUCCAAUAAGAAUGUUACUCUUAAAGAGAGGGUGAAUAGCAUUUUGAGAAAGCGGGCAUGGACCAAUGAAUGUCGCUCAAAUGUAUGUGCUUGUUACAUCUGUAUUUAUGAAUAGAUUUAUUUCCUGAUGUUUGGAUGCACUGUUCUMUUCCAUUACAUAGACUAAGGAGAGGCAGUAGAAUAACCCCCAAGUGCAGAUCUAGAAUCAAUUACCCAUAAACCUGUCCCAUUAACCAUUUAAAGGUAAAAAAUACUAAACUGACCUUGUCAGGGACAACGUAGGCUUGAUCAGCAUCAUAAAUCUUCAAAUUAUUUCUUAAUUCUUUAUUGUAUGUCCCUUUCAGGAAAUUUGUCUUAUCGCAAACUCAACAGCACAACUUCACCACAUAUACAUAAAUACAAUAGGGAUGUGCUUCUUUCCCUUUCAAGAUGAUUCGAUAGGUAUCUAGAUACAUGGGCUCUGAUAUGAUACGGGAACGAUAUGUUUUAGUUUGAAAUGAUUCGUUUUGGUUAGAGAAUUAAUAYAUUUGGUUUGAUACACUCA